rnacentral:rRNA from 1 species
UAUCUAAACGGAGAGAUUCAAUACUGAACUUAACACUCAGUGUGCACUUCUCUCUUAGUAAGACGCCGUGAUCCAUUAGAAAUUGGUAGACGCCAGUCUAUAUGAGGUCAUCAAUGGGCUUGCAUGAAGUUUAUUGGAACGAAUGGCAUGAUCUUUCAACGGUCGUGUGUAUUGUCUGGUAAGCGUGCGAGUACUCGAAAUGACUGUCUGAUGGAUUUUAAAGAUUAUAUCAUUGAUGUUACGGCAUCACUUACUUCGGUGAGUUUACGAUAUAUAUCCGAUCAACGGCGGUUAAAUUUGGGAUACCUUUUGGACCCGUCUUGAAACACGGACCAAGGAGUCUAUCUAAUGUGCGAGUAAAUGAGUUGUAAACUUAUUUGCGUAAUAAACGUAACUGUUAUGGGAUUACGAGUGACAUUCGUGUNNCUCUUCCAUCCCGGAGUAUUUUCAUCCACAUAUACGCAAGUAUAUGGAAAAUAUAUCAUGAGCANNNUGGAUACGACCCGAAAGAUGGUGAACUAUGCUUGAUCAGGUCGAAGUCAGGGGAAACCCUGAUGGAGGACCGAAGCAGUUCUGACGUGCAAAUCGA